UCAUUGCAGUUUAUUUUGGAUACUUCGAAAAUUUGUUGCAAACACACCCUGGAAAACUUCAUCCAGAAAACCAUAAAUUAUCAAUGUCCCCUUCGUAAAGAUACAAACGGUUUCCAUGUGAUCAUCACUUAUAGACAUACCAGUUCAGCAAAGAUACAAAAAGGUAGAAAGACACUACAGACCAUCAUUUCUUUCUCUUUUCCUUUUCUCAUAUAUUAUUUCCGCUUAUGUUUUCCAGCUUACACACUUCACAUUAAUAUGAACUCAAUACAAAUUAAAUUACAUUAGAAAGACACUUCUUUGGGUGAGCACGACGAGAUAUGAACAUGCUUGAGACAAUACUUACAAGUAUUAGAAGCUACGUGUAAGUAAAAGCAUCAAACUCAGCAUCCUGCUGCUUUCAAGAACUUAUCGUAGGGGCUUGAAGGUGGCAGCCUAAAGGACUGUUGUCCAUACUCCCGAGAACAAGAGAGAGAGUUUUGUGUAUGAGUUGAUUCAACUGUUGUUAAUUGUAGAUCCUGGUGAAGCACCAUAUCCUGCACAAAAGGAAA
rnacentral:lncRNA from 1 species